ACGAACUGAGCGAACGUUGUUCGGAAUCACUGGGCUUAAAGGGCGCGUAGGCGGGCAAGCAAGUCCGGGGUGAAAGCUUUCGGCUCAACCGGAAAAGGGCCUUGGAUACUGCUUGUCUGGAGGGAGGUAGGGGUCCGUGGAACUUCCGGUGGAGCGGUGAAAUGCGUUGAUAUCGGAAGGAACGCCGGUGGCGAAAGCGACGGACUGGAUCUCUUCUGACGCUGAGGCGCGAAAGCCAGGGGAGCAAACGGGA
rnacentral:rRNA from 1 species